rnacentral:rRNA from 1 species
GUCUAUGGCCAUGCUACCCUGAACAAGCCUGAUCCCAUCUGAUCUCAGAAGCUAAGCAGGGUCAGGCCUGGUUAGUACUUGGAUGGGAGACCACCUUGGAAGACCAGGUGCUGUAGGCA